UACGUAGGGGGCAAGCGUUGUCCGGAAUCAUUGGGCGUAAAGAGCGUGUAGGCGGUUCGGUAAGUCUGUCGUGAAAUCCUGAGGCUCAACCUCGGACGUGCGAUGGAUACUGCCGGGCUAGAGGAUGGUAGAGGCGAGUGGAAUUCCCGGUGUAGCGGUGAAAUGCGCAGAUAUCGGGAGGAACACCAGUAGCGAAGGCGGCUCGCUGGGCCAUUCCUGACGCUGAGACGCGAAAGCUAGGGGAGCGAACAGG
rnacentral:rRNA from 1 species